AGAGUUUGAUCAUGGCUCAGGAUGAACGCUGGCGGCGUGCCUAAUACAUGCAAGUCGAACGUGAGCCCUGGUUGCGACUGGGGUGAAAGUGGCGAACGGGUGAGUAACACAUGGCUGACCUGCCCCUCAGAGGGGGAUAACUACUGGAAACGGUAGCUAAUACCCCAUACGCUCGUCUGGGUUAGAGGCCGGGCGAGGAAAGGCGAGAGCUGCUGAGGGAGGGGGCUGUGGCCCAUCAGCUAGUUGGUGGGGUAACGGCCUACCAAGGCGAGGACGGGUAGGGGGCCUGAGAGGGUGACCCCCCACACGGGCACUGAGAGACGGGCCCGACUCCUACGGGAGGCAGCAGUAAGGGAUAUUGCGCGAAUGGGCGAAAGCCUGACGCAGCAACGCCGCGUGCGGGAAGAAGGCCUUCGGGUUGUAAACCGCUUUGAGAGGGGAAGAGGCAGGACGGUACCCUCGGAACAAGUCUCGGCUAACUACGUGCCAGCAGCCGCGGUAAAACGUAGGAGGCGAGCGUUAUCCGGAGUUACUGGGUGUAAAGGGCGUGCAGGCGGCUGAGCAAGUCGUAUGUGAAAGCGCUCAGGCUCAACCGGGCGAGGACAUGCGGGACUGCUCAGCUAGAGGCAGGUAGAGGCGCGUGGAAUUCCGGGUGUAGUGGUGAAAUGCGUAGAGAUCCGGAGGAACACCAGUGGCGAAGGCGGCGCGCUGGGCCUGACCUGACGCUGAGGCGCGAAAGCAUGGGGAGCGAACGGGAUUAGAAACCCCGGUAGUCCAUGCUGUAAACGAUGCGGACUAGGUGUGGCGACGGGAGUUGCCGUGCCGGAGCGAACGUGGUA
rnacentral:rRNA from 1 species